GAUGAACGCUGGCGGCGUGCCUAAUACAUGCAAGUCGAGCGAACAGAUAAGGAGCUUGCUCCUUUGACGUUAGCGGCGGACGGGUGAGUAACACGUGGGUAACCUACCUAUAAGACUGGGAUAACUUCGGGAAACCGGAGCUAAUACCGGAUAAUAUUUCGAACCGCAUGGUUCGAUAGUGAAAGAUGGUUUUGCUAUCACUUAUAGAUGGACCCGCGCCGUAUUAGCUAGUUGGUAAGGUAACGGCUUACCAAGGCGACGAUACGUAGCCGACCUGAGAGGGUGAUCGGCCACACUGGAACUGAGACACGGUCCAGACUCCUACGGGAGGCAGCAGUAGGGAAUCUUCCGCAAUGGGCGAAAGCCUGACGGAGCAACGCCGCGUGAGUGAUGAAGGUCUUCGGAUCGUAAAACUCUGUUAUUAGGGAAGAACAUACGUGUAAGUAACUGUGCACGUCUUGACGGUACCUAAUCAGAAAGCAACGGCUAACUACGUG
rnacentral:rRNA from 1 species